GCCGUUGGGAGCCUUGAGCUCUUAGUGGCGCAGCUAACGCAUUAAGUUGACCGCCUGGGGAGUACGGCCGCAAGGUUAAAACUCAAAUGAAUUGACGGGGGCCCGCACAAGCGGUGGAGCAUGUGGUUAAUUCGAAGCAACGCGAAGAACCUUACCAGGCCUUGACAUCCAAUGAACUUUCUAGAGAUAGAUUGGUGCCUUCGGGAACAUUGAGACAGGUGCUGCAUGGCUGUCGUCAGCUCGUGUCGUGAGAUUUGGGUUAANNNCGCAACGAA
rnacentral:rRNA from 1 species